UACGGAGGGAGCUAGCGUUAUUCGGAAUUACUGGGCGUAAAGCGCACGUAGGCGGCUUUGUAAGUUAGAGGUGAAAGCCUGGAGCUCAACUCCAGAAUUGCCUUUAAGACUGCAUCGCUUGAAUCCAGGAGAGGUGAGUGGAAUUCCGAGUGUAGAGGUGAAAUUCGUAGAUAUUCGGAAGAACACCAGUGGCGAAGGAGGCUCACUGGACUGGUAUUGACGCUGAGGUGCGAAAGCGUGGGGAGCAAACAGG
rnacentral:rRNA from 1 species